rnacentral:rRNA from 1 species
UACGUAGGGGGCAAGCGUUGUCCGGAUUUAUUGGGCGUAAAGAGCGUGUAGGCGCCAGGUAGUCGGUUGUGAAAACUGGAGGCUCAACCUUCAGACGUCGACCGAAACCAUCUGGCUAGAGUCCGGGAGAGGGAUGUGGAAUUCCAGGUGUAGCGGUGAAAUGCGUAGAUAUCUGGAGGAACACCGGUGGCGAAGGCGGCAUCCUGGACCGGUAUUGACGCUGAGGCGCGAAAGCCAGGGGAGCAAACGG